rnacentral:rRNA from 1 species
GUACUGGGGAAUAAUCACUGGAAACGGUGACUAAUACCGCAUGUGGUCCUUGGGAGGCAUCUUCUGAGGAAGAAAGGAUUUAUUCGGUACAGGAUGGGCCCGCAUCUGAGUAGCUAGUUGGUGAGAUAACAGCCCACCAAGGCGACGAUCAGUAGCCGACCUGAGAGGGUGAUCGGCAACAUUGGGACUGAGACACGGCCCAAACUCCUACGGGAGGCAGCAGUGGGGAAUAUUGCACAAGGGGGGAAACCCUGAUGCAGCAACGCCGCGUGAAGGAAGAAGGUUUUCGGAUCGUAAACGUCUAUCAAU